rnacentral:rRNA from 1 species
CAGAGUUUGAUCCUGGCUCAGGACGAACGCUGGCGGCGUGCUUAACACAUGCAAGUCGAACGCUGAAGCACUGUGCUUGCACGGUGUGGAUGAGUGGCGAACGGGUGAGUAACACGUGAGUAACCUGCCCCUGACUUCGGGAUAAGCUUGGGAAACUGGGUCUAAUACCGGAUGUGACUACUGGCCGCAUGGUCUGGUGGUGGAAAGGGUUUACUGGUUGGGGAUGGACUCGCGGCCUAUCAGUGUUGUUGGUGGGGUAGUGGCCUACCAAGACGACGACGGGUAGCCGGCCUGAGAGGGCGACCGGCCACACUGGGACUGAGACACGGCCCAGACUCCUACGGGAGGCAGCAGUGGGGAAUAUUGCACAAUGGGGGGAACCCUGAUGCAGCGACGCCGCGUGCGGGAUGACGGCCUUCGGGUUGUAAACCGCUUUCAGUAGGGAAGAAGCGAAAGUGACGGUACCUGCAGAAGAGUACCGGCUAACUACGUGCCAGCAGCCGCGGUAAUACGUAGGGUACAAGCGUUGUCCGGAAUUAUUGGGCGUAAAGAGCUCGUAGGUGGUUGGUCGCGUCUGCUGUGGAAACGCAACGC